rnacentral:rRNA from 1 species
AGGCUUAACACAUGCAAGUCGAACGCUCCGCAAGGGGAGUGGCAGACGGGUGAGUAACGCGUGGGAAUCUACCCAGUUCUACGGAAUAACCCAGGGAAACUUGGACUAAUACCGUAUACGCCCUACGGGGGAAAGAUUUAUCGGAAUUGGAUGAGCCCGCGUUGGAUUAGCUAGUUGGUGGGGUAACGGCUCACCAAGGCGACGAUCCAUAGCUGGUCUGAGAGGAUGAUCAGCCACACUGGGACUGAGACACGGCCCAGACUCCUACGGGAGGCAGCAGUGGGGAAUAUUGGACAAUGGGCGAAAGCCUGAUCCAGCCAUGCCGCGUGAGUGAUGAAGGCCUUAGGGUUGUAAAGCUCUUUCAGUAGGGAAGAUAAUGACGGUACCUACAGAAGAAGCCCCGGCUAACUUCGUGCCAGCAGCCGCGGUAAUACGAAGGGGGCUAGCGUUGUUCGGAUUUACUGGGCGUAAAGCGCACGUAGGCGGAUCGUUAAGUCGGGGGUGAAAUCCUGGAGCUCAACUCCAGAACUGCCUUCGAUACUGGCGAUCUUGAGUCCCGGAAGAGGUGAGUGGAACUCCUAGUGUA